GUACUCACUUCAGCAGCACGUAUACUAAAAUUGGAGUGAUACAGAGAAGAUUGGCAUGGCCACUGCAUGGACAUGCAAAACAUACAAAAAAUAAAUGGCCAGAAUUU